GUCUUUGCUUUCAGUCAGAAAAGGGCUUUCACCACCCUGACCAAUGACUGUAUAUGAAUGGACAAAGCCAUCGAUCACGUGACACCAUUCAUAGCUACGUGAAGAGCACUGAAGCCAAAUUAAGUCAGUUAAGAUGGCAUCUCAUGGAGACCUAACGUGCUGUUUGAGCUACUCCAGGAAGUGAAGUUGCAGGCUAGCUCAAUGCUUCCCCCUGUCCAUUGACCACGUGUCCAUGCACACCAAUAUCCGUUAUUAUUCGGGAUACUCAAGUAUUCUAUUUUUGAGUUGACGCAUAUAAACGUCAUAUCCCGUUUACAAUAACCUGAUUAAGCUUGUAAUCCUGCGUAUGUGAAACCAGGAUAAGAUGCCUGGGAUAUGCAUAUUUUAGAUGGGAUACUGGGGCAUGUAAACAUCUUAUCUUGUUUACUGUUGUUUUCUUGCGGCCUGCACAGGCUCAGUUGCACAUAUCAUAUGUGUUGUACAGUCUGUGGUGUUUUGUAAUGAUGUUUUCAUCUGAUUGUCAAACAAAUCACUUCAAAAAGUAGGCUACCUGCGCAGUUCGAUCUACCAUAAUAAUUCAAUAACAAUUUAUUUUGCUGAUACUCCGUACUGAACCACAUAACAUAGUGGGUACUUUCACUCCUAAUUUAGACACGUUUCUCCUUAUAAUUUCCAACAUUUGGUAGGCCAUAUACUUUUGGACAUUUGGUAGGCCAUUUGUCAACUAUAGUUAGAAACAUGCAACUACUCUUCUGUCAUAAAUCGUUGACCUAGAAGACUAAAUAAACUAGUGCUUACCAGAAUAAUGUCUUAUAUCAAUAGUUAACACUGGUAAAGUUGUCUGUUUCGUUUGGAGACCGGGAUAAAAUGCAAUAGCUCCAAAACAGUGGAAGGAUUGUUCAUGUGCAAAAUGUCCAAUGUCAUCAGUUUGACCAGUGUUAAGGAAAUUAAAAGCUGAGAAAACGAUUAAACACGUUUAUAAGACUUCAGUUCAUCUUGGGCGCAUAUUUUAUGUGGUUGAACUAGUCCGCUUGCAUAACGGUGUCAAAGAUAACACAUUACACACGCCUUCGCGUUUUCUCAAGAGAUGCUGAAAGAAAGAAAUCAUAUUUCUCCACUCCUGUUCCCGAGACAAAAUUAACAUUUGUUGUAUGAUUUUACUCCAGGAAAUGUAUAAUUCUGCAGGAGUUAAUAUUAAAUUACAUGUGAGAGGUUAUAGGCCUACAGUGAAUGUCCAUAUUUCAGUUACUAUUCCAUUUAACCCAUAUGAACUUCAACCAGGAAUAUUCUGUUUAUUCAUGGAUACAGGGAUACUCCUGAAUGGGAUAUCAAAGGUGCAUGUAAACAGCUUAUCCCGAAUAAGACCUUAAGUGGGAUACAGCUGCCAACUCUCACGCAUUGUCCGUGAGACACACGCAUCCAGUUCUCACGCUCACACACCACACCUCUUAUAUCUCACGCAUCUAAAAGCACUGGUUUUAUUUUACUGAUUAAUCCAGUGUAUAUUCAGUGCGUUAACGUUUUAUGUUCUCCAAAUCAUUUUGAAAUCGAAGCAUCUGCACCUAGGGGCGGAGCCAGAGGGGUGUCCGGGGUGGCACUGGACACCCCUGACAUCUGAUUGGCCACCCGGGUGCCACCCCAACAUUUUAUUCGCUACUGACAGUUUGAUGCUGAUUGCCAUCCCAUUUCACCUCUUGUUGAAAGAAGCACUUAUUUUGACAUUCGGCGGUGCAUUUUUAUAAUCGAGGAAGAGAGAAUAUUCGUUGGUUGCGAGAUACAGAAGAAUAAGAAGAACAUACAGAAGAAGAAGAGAGAAUAUUUCCACAGCUCCAUGAGCUCUUUUCACGCUUGGCGAAAGCAUGAUAUAGUGAACACAAACAGGCAGAUAAGGUGCAAACAGACCCCAGCCCUUGGAUCACCACCGGACUCCAGAGCAGCUCCUUACAUGAGGCUAGUCAGAGUCAGUGUGGUCAGACUUCACAAGGACCCAGUCUACCACCACCAGAUGUAUCAAGGGAUGACACAGAGACCUCUGGUUCUGAGCAAGACAGUGAGCCAGAGCUGCCAGGAGAUGUCAUCGAGCCCCCCCAACUGCAUCAAGCACCAGAUAUGCUGUUCCAAAAGGACCCAAUGACAUUUCAAGAUCCAGAGAAGAAGGUCCUGUACAGCUGUGUUUGAAAAUAUUUCCCAGUACUCAGCUUGGUACUAGGAAAAGGGCUUUCAACAGCUCCUGGUAUAAGGACAAUUCAUGACUUGAAUAUUCUGUAAAUCAAGAUUUGACUUAUUGUUUGCCUGUAGGCAUUUUUCUCUGCCCAAUACACCUGAAUCUGCCUUCACAUCACAGUCAGGUUUUUGUAACUGGAAAAAAGGCGCUGUUUAAAGAUUCUGGGUUUAAGCUCUAUUCCAAGGCAGAGCAUCAUAUCAAUGCUAUGUAUGCUUGGAAUCAGCAUAAAAGGGCUAUUGACAGCAACUCAUCAAUGUUAGAUGUCAUAAAUGAGGACCGGAAAAGAAAGUGGAGGAAAACUGUACUUACAUUAAAACAAUUGCAGAUGUGCUCCUAUUAACUGCCACUGAAAAUAUAGCACAGAGGUCAUCGAGAGUCUGAUGACUCUCACAACAAGGGUCAUUUUUGGACAAUCUUAGAAGAAAUAGCAAAGCAUGACACUCUCAUAGAGAAAAGGAUGAAUGCAUGUGGAAAUGCUAAGUACACAAGCCACCAAAUCCAGAACGAAGUUCUUGAGGGCUUAGCUGAGAUGGUACAAAGUGAAAUAAUAAGAGAAGUAAAAGAAAGUGAAGUUUUUCAUGUAAUUGCAGAUGAAACCAAAGAUUUAAAGAAAAAAUAACAAAAGUCUUUAGUUGUGAGGUACUAUGACAACGGGGCCAUCCACAAAAGCUUUUUACACUUUCAGUCAGCUAAAAGCUUAGAUGCAGCAGGUCUCACAAAAAUUAUAAUUGAUUGCCUUGAAAAACAUGUUCUGGACUACAGAAAUAAUCUUGUGGGGCAAGGCUAUGACGGUGCAUCCGUCAUGAGCGGAAAGCAUUCUGGUGUGUCUGCAUGGAUUAAAAACAGUGCAAGAUUUGCAUUUUAUGUGCACUGUAAUGCACAUUGUUUGAAUUUGGUUCUUGUCGAUGCUGUAAAAUCAGUGCCUGAGGCAGUUCUGAGAGUGCUACAGGAUAUCACACUUGAAAAUAGUGGUGAUAGAUCAGUUAUAUUUACAUUUCAUAGGGCUUUUGGUUACCUUUUGUAAAGUGCUUGGUGAUACCAAAUGUCUUUCGGACAUGCUCCAGUCAAGCUCUCUUGACCUAGCAAGGGCUGUGGAUCUAGUAGGUGCCCUUACAGACACAUUACAGGACUUCAGAAGUGAGGGUUACUUUGGAGAACUAUGGACAGAGGUUGAAGAGAUUUCAGAGCACUGCAAAAUAAGUGUACAAACAGUGUGUAAAAGACAGCCUAAAACAAGCUUAAGAUUUCACGACUCAUUGAUGAUGAGCACUGUAGGACAGAAAAUUUGUGAUCAAAGUGAUGGUGAGAGCUUCCAAAGAGAUAUCUUUUAUCAGGUGCUUGACAGUCUCACAGCUGAGCUGCAGAGGCGUUUUUCAAAGAAGAAUUGUGUGAUAAUGCAAGGGGUCCAGUCUCUCAACCCAAAGAGUACAACAUUCUUGAAUGAGGAGCCUCUAUUUGCCUUUGCUCAGACCUUUGAGUCAGAUUUAGAGGACCUCAAACAUGAGGUUCACCAAACCAAGUGGCUUCUUGAUAGGCAUCUUGAUAGGAGAGAGAAAAGUGGAAGGGACAGACCGUCUACUCUACUUGAAAGAGGUCUUUCAUGAGCUAUUUCGACUUAAGAUUUCUGUUGUUACACCAGUCAGUAGUGCUUCUUGCGAGAGAAGCUUCUCAGCUUUAAAACUGAUUAAAACCCACCUCAGGACAACAAUGGUUGAUGACAGGUUAAAUCACCUCGGAAUUCUCAGUGUUGAGUCAAGGAGGGUACGCUCCCUCAACAUGGAUGAGUUUGUGAAACAUUUUGCCAGUUCUCAACAGAACCGCAGAAUUAUGCUGUUUUAAAUAUACCUAGGAAAAUUUGGUACUUAGGCAGUCCCUCUGGUCAGGAUUAAAACCUGCACUGUGUAUUAGCUAGUAUACUGACAUUCUAAAAUGGUCAAUCCAAGGCGUAUCAUGUCACACAGAUUUAAUUUGGUCUUGAUUAGGCCAAUUCCAAAACUUUUCUUUGUUAUUAGUUAACAUAGUAUAUAUGUGCAUAAAUAUGAUACUGUACAUUUGUAAUAUUGAUGGGCAACAAAAUUAUUUUAAUUUUUCAAGUCCAUUUCUUGAUACCUGGUAUGUCAAAUUGCAGUGUGUUUUUUUGUAAAUUUACAUUUUUGUAAAUAAACUAUGCAAUUUAUGUAACACACAAAUGCUGUCUUAU
rnacentral:lncRNA from 1 species